GUCAAAUGCACACAGAUCCUGUCUCAAGGAUGUGGAGAUAGGACUUGCCUUUUUAGUUGUUGCAGAGGCAGGCAAGGUUGGAAUUUUUAAAGAUUGUUUUCACCAACUGGAGGAAAAACUAGCAAUACAAGUAAGAAAUCUUUCUGCAGUUUUAAAAUUCUCCCUGGUGGGGCCCAGGGACAGGCUUCUCUGUGACAUGGCAAUUUGUGUGGCCAGGAGACAGCAGGUAUGGUUCCAGAGAAGUCCAUCUGGAUUGAUGUAAAAUACCAGGUCCUGGUAGAGGCAGGGAAGGGCAAACAAAGAGAAUGAUCCAGCUCCCUGAGGGUGUUGGAUGGAGCCAGGGGUGAUUGGAAGGGCCAAGAUAAGGGGUCAGGUUCACAGGGCUUCCCCAGGCCCUGGGAAGAAAUAAGUGCAAGCCAGGAACUCUCUUCCUUUCUUUUUUUUCAAGAAUUCCCAGCCGAUGGGACUAGGGUUUUCCCUAGACACACUGGGGCAGGGGUUUAGGGCUACAGAUGAAUCCUGGACCUGCCCAUUGGUGGGUAUGGUACUCCUCAUUUAUGUCACAGUUGGCACCUCUCUCAUGGAGUCGAGGACCCCAUGACUUGGCAGUGCUGAAACACAGGCUAAAGGCUUUCACCACCUGCAGCUAGAGCCAUGGUUGGAGCAGGAGGAGUCAGCAACUGAUGCUGGAUCCAAAGACCAACAUCCCACCCUCAGGUUCAAGCAAGCCCUUUGAGUUGAGGAGGCUGGGAAGAAAAUCCUCCCAGGGCUGAGCUUCACUCCAGGGACUCUCUGAAGGUUAGGUGUUGAGAAGGCUAAUUAGACCUCUCUGAUCAGAAGCUGAGGCAGAGCACUCAUGGGGAACGCUCGGGCCUCAGGUCUCCUAGGCAUACUUCAUAUCUGUCAGGUACGGGGUGCUAGUCAGCCUCAGAUGGAUUCACUGGAAUUCUACCCUGCAACCUCAAGAAUGCAAAGACUUGGCACUCAUUCUCAGCAUUCUCAAGACAUGCUUAAUCAUGGGUGAUAGCUGCUUCAGAAGUGACACAAGCUCUGGUGGGAUGGAAGUUCUAGGGAGAAGGAUGACUACCCUUAAGAUGGCUGAGAUAGAAUGUUUUCCCCCUGAAGUGACUGGGAGCUCAGAAUGAGAGAGAAGGAGAGAGAGAGAGAGAAGGGGAAGGAGAAGAAAGAAGAAAGAGAAGAAUGAAGAGAACAGUGAUGACCAUGGCAGUGGCAGUGACUCUUAACUAAGUGUUGAAUAAGUGUUGAUGAUGAUGUUAUUGGAUGAUCUUUAUUUUCUUCUUUAAAUUUUCUACAAUUAAUAUUCAGUACAUUUGAAUAUGAAAAAUAAUAGAAGUUAUUUUUAAAUGGAAGAAAAUUGUGAUUUUUUUCCAAAGAAAAUACUAUAUGGCCGUUUUUAAUUUUUAUUUUUACAAUGGUAUCUUGUCCCUGACUAGAAUUGUGCAUAUCGUCACAAACCGUGAUUGACGUUUGAAGCCUUCUGGUUUGCCCGGUCAGUUGCAGUACGGUUAUG
rnacentral:lncRNA from 1 species